rnacentral:rRNA from 1 species
GACGAACGCUGGCGGCGUGCCUAAUACAUGCAAGUUGAGCGCUGAAGGUUGGUACUUGUACCAACUGGAUGAGCAGCGAACGGGUGAGUAACGCGUGGGGAAUCUGCCUUUGAGCGGGGGACAACAUUUGGAAACGAAUGCUAAUACCGCAUAAAAACUUUAAACACAAGUUUUAAGUUUGAAAGAUGCAAUUGCAUCACUCAAAGAUGAUCCCGCGUUGUAUUAGCUAGUUGGUGAGAUAAAGGCUCACCAAGGCGAUGAUACAUAGCCGACCUGAGAGGGUGAUCGGCCACAUUGGGACUGAGACACGGCCCAAACUCCUACGGGAGGCAGCAGUAGGGAAUCUUCGGCAAUAGACGAAAGUCUGACCGAGCAACGCCGCGUGAGUGAAGAAGGUUUUCGGAUCGUAAAACUCUGUUGGUAGAGAAGAACGUUGGUGAGAGUGGAAAGCUCAUCAAGUGACGGUAACUACCCAGAAAGGGACGGCUAACUACGUG